rnacentral:rRNA from 1 species
CCUAGCGGCAGACGGGUGCGUAACAUGUGGGAAUCUGCCUUUUGGUUCGGAACAACACGGGGAAACCUGUGCUAAUACCGGAUAAGUCCUUACGGAGAAAGUUUUAAUGCCGAAAGAUCAGCCCGCGCUAGAUUAGCUAGUUGGUGAGGUAAUGGCUCACCAAGGCGACGAUCUAUAGCUGGUUUGAGAGGAUGAUCAGCCACAUUGGGACUGAGAUACGGCCCAAACUCC